rnacentral:lncRNA from 1 species
GUCAAAAGAAUUUGAGUACAAGAUUAUGUUUACUAAUGAUGUGCUUGAGAAUGGUUGUAGGUCUCCUUAAAUGCUUAAUAAGUCUACUCAUCUGCCUUGUCAUAUUACUCAAGAAAAUUCAAAAGCCAUCUCAUUAAGAAAUAUUCAAAGGCAAGAAAACUUUAAGUCCAGAAAAUUUCAAAGUCUUGCUCACAUAAAAAGUCAGUUUUUCUCACUUAAAAUCCUCA